rnacentral:rRNA from 1 species
GAUGAACGCUGGCGGCGUGCCUAAUACAUGCAAGUCGAGCGAACGGACGAGAAGCUUGCUUCUCUGCUGUUAGCGGCGGACGGGUGAGUAACACGUGGAUAACCUACCUAUAAGACUGGGAUAACUUCGGGAAACCGGAGCUAAUACCGGAUGAUAUUUUGAACCGCAUGGUUCAAAAGUGAAAGACGGUCUUGCUGUCACUAAUAGAUGGAUCCGCGCUGCAUUAGCUAGUUGGUAAGGUAACGGCUUACCAAGGCAACGAUGCAUAGCCGACCUGAGAGGGUGAUCAGCCACACUGGAACUGAGACACGGUCCAGACUCCUACGGGAGGCAGCAGUAGGGAAUCUUCCGCAAUGGGCGAAAGCCUGACGGAGCAACGCCGCGUGAGUGAUGAAGGUCUUCGGAUCGUAAAGCUCUGUUAUUAGGGAAGAACAUAUGUGUAAGUAACUGUGCACAUCUUGACGGUACCUAAUCAGAAAGCCACGGCUAACUACGUG